GAAAUGUGUUACUACAGUGUGCAACUCAGCUCAGAAAAAAAAAAAGGUGGGAAUGGCUUCUUCAUUUCUCAACCCUUUUAAAUGGAAAGGUUUGCUCAUUGUAAAAGCCACAUUAGACAGUGUUGACAUGAUAUUUUUCUUUUGCCAUGAAACUGAAGUUUUGAAUGAUUAUUUUUUAUUUUCCCACUUCUUGCGUGUGUUUGUGUGGGGGGAGGAAUGAAUGUAUGAUUUAGAAGAUUUUUGGUUCUCUUAGUGCCCUGCUUUGUUGUGAGUCAGCAGUAGUCCACAGUGCACAGCUGGAAGAAUGCUGCAUUAUGGUAUGGCUCAAUGGAUGCAGCUGCUAGGUUCUGUAGAGGUAUCUUCAUUCUCCCAGUGAUGGCAGGUUGAGGAUAAAAUAUUCAAGACUAAUUCUUUAAUGAGUGUGAUUGCCUCCUGAAUAAUGUCUGUUUUGUGUGAAGAGUUUUGAGGUUUUUGUUUGUCUGCUUUUUCCACCUGUACAGUUACUUAAAUAUUAUCACGAUAUUAUCUACUGACUAUGAAGUCACUGCACUUGCGUGGUUGGCAUGUGGUUUUUGUUCCUUGAGUUUAUGGCAGUUUUAUUGUCCACUUUCUUGAACAUUAGUUUUAACACUUAGCUGCAAAUAUUUAUGGGAAAGAUAACAGUGAUUUCACCUCCUGUCUGAAGCGUGAAUUAUACUUCAGGGUUUCUUUCUCAAUGUGUGCUAUAUUUAAGCAUGCUUCUCUUUUUGUCUUGCAUCCUUCGGAUCUGUGCAGGCUGCUGACAAAAAUUGAACAAUCACAAGAUCUCUUGUAAAAGGCAGCCAUUUCUUGUCAGUUCUGUUGUUUCACUCCCCCAGCUCCAAUCCUUCAGCUGUUAAACAGCGCUAAGUUGGAGAUAGCUCAAUCGCCCUCAUAUUGUUUGUAAAGUUUCCUUCUCACCUUAGAGCAAGACUGUGGCGCAUUUCAUUUUCAUGCUGCGAGAUCUGGCAGUGCAUCUUGCUCCUCAGCAAGGAGCUUGGGUGACCAGAAGCAGCAGGGGGCAGAGUGUCCUGCUUCCAGCCUGCAGAGGACAAAGCCAGCAGAGAACAAUGGAGCUAACAUUAAAUUCUGCGUGAGGCAAAGAGUGGCCAGCUGUAGCCGUGUGCUGAGGGUGGUAUGUAGGGUGUGUGUUUAGGGAACUGAAGAAGAGACAGCGUGUUUCUGAGUCAGUCACUCCUAGAUGGCUGCUGUGCUUGUGACUGGAACAAGCUUGCUGUUUAGCCCAUGGUAUUGAGAAGAUACAUGAGACAUGCUUCACUGUAUAUCUGUUCUGUGUUUCAUCUCUGGGCACACUACAUGUUUGCAGGUGCUGCUUUUUACAUGUUAAAAAACUUAACACCUUCCUCUAGUGUUUUAACAAAGUUUACUUCCAAGGUGUCAGGGACUUCUUGGAAGAAGUAGCUCCUUAGACUGACCUGAUUCCAUCUUGAGAGCAUGAACAUUUCAAGCAGCAGAAGUAAAACUACUCAGGGUUUCGGAUGCCAUGUGUAAAUAGUUCUGUCUCCUAUCUUUCUCGUGACAUCUUCUUCAGCAUAGGCUGUAUCUUCUUCUUUUUUUUUAUCCUUUUCUUUUUCUGUGCUAUGCAAUAUCACUACAUGAAGUAUGUAGGAAGGAGAAAUACUGGGUAUGCAGGCAGAAAGCAUGCUUAAAAUAUGGAAGCUAUCCUUCCUCACUACGGUCUUCUGUGACAUUCCUGGGAGAAAUGUCAGCCUGACAGUUCUGAGGACUAGCAAAAAGGUUCGUCUCUAACAGUGGCCUUAAAGUUUCCUGACUCAGUUUGAAGAGAAUCUGCUCAGGAUUUAUUUAUUUAUUUGCUAAGUGCUUGCUGAGAAGCCAGUUGCAAAGCCUCUUUUCCAAGGCUUGUUGGGGUGAUCUUCCUGCCUUAAGAUGACUGCUUCUUCUUCGCUUUGGAGGUGAUGCUUAAACCUUCGGGGUGCUUUCUACUAAUACUAAGAUUUCUACCUUUAAGGUGGCUUUAACCCUAUUUUUAUUCAUUUAUACUCUGCAGGUACAUUGCAUCUAUCCAGUGAUAAUCUUUCCUCAGUGUAUUUCAUAUUUCCCUGUGUCGCUGUGACUGUUGUACUCAAGCGUUCAGAGUAGCGUUUCUGAGUAUUUCCUCUGGUUGAGGUAGGGUAUUACCCUUGUUUUGAUAAUGUUGAACGUUUAUUUCUUUAUUCAUUUUGACCAAGGAAUGCUUAGUUUCAGAGUUGUAGCAUCCACAACAAAAGCAGGAAACCUCAAAUUGCAGGAGGGGUUAAAUUACUUUAUUAUUUACCAGAAACUCUAAGACCUGUAACAGGUGCACAUUGAAUGAGAUAAUUAGGCAUGCUUUAAAGUCAGCUCCAACCAAGCUAUUAUUUCAGCAUUUCUCUCUCAGAAACCACAGGAAGAGAAUUAUUGGUCUCAUGAUGAUAGUAAAUGCCCUCAGAGCUCUACUCAGACUAACCAGUGUUGUUUCCCUUUGCAACUCCUCUUCCAUGGGAAAGUAAGAAAUAAUUACUGUGCGAGUACACUGAGCUCCAAACAGCAGGUGUGCCGUGGUGCAGUCUUUACCAGGGGGUUUCAUCUGCAAGUAAUACGCUUUGAGCUGGUACAUGGGGAGGAUGGGACAGUUUAGAAAAACCUUUAAGAGAUCAAUUUUUAAAAUUUCAUAGCUGGGUGAGCUUGCAGUUCACAGUGGGUUUGGAGCUACAAAUAAUGGGAGCAGAUCCACUGCUUCCUCGCCUCAGUGGCAUUACAAUGACUUACACAAGCUUGAGGACUUGACUCUUAAAAAGCUUUUUUAAGGACAUUUAGUUUGAAGUUAGAAUGUGUAGUCCAUGGGAAAUGCUGAUGUUUUUCCUUCCUGAAUUUAUGCAAACAGUGGAAACACCACCAUUUCCUUCAGAACAAGAGUUUUAGAAAAACAAAGCUGUGAAGGUGUGGUUUUGUUCUGAACCAGUUCUAGAUUAAAACUUUUUCUGAACACUCCGUUUUUGUGAAAAUGUAAAAUUUGCUGUCCAAAACGCAUUCUGUAUGUGGGAAAACCCUGACCAGCUCGGCCUCCAGGUCCUGCAACUGAGGAUGGAGGAACAGACAGACAGCAGAGCGGAAGAGGGUGAAGAAAAAGCAGUGCUACCUCCCCAGCUGUGAGCAGGCUCCCACGUGGAGAGCUGCUGGACGGGACCGCAGCCCCGGCAGAACGGGGUCAGUAGGUGGAGAGGCUGCUGGCUGCCAGGGGGAGGCUUUAGCGAGGCCAGCUGCAAGAAGCUGUGGAAGGAGCAACAUGGAGCGAAGCCUGCCAAGUCGGGGAAGUGGGAAGUGGCCACAGGGAGCGAGGGACAGAAAGGAACAGCUCCCGGUUGCUUAGCACGCGGUCAUUAAAACUAGAUGAAAGAUUUCCUGGGUCUUCUGCCCUGAGGGGAGAGAGAGAGGGGGUGGAAAGAGGUAAUAUAAUAUUGCUUGAGGAGGAGAAAUGGGAAAGGAUUAAUUAAUCCCAGACUUGAGGUCUCAAAAAUACGGUCUCCUUUUAUGAGAUUCCAACUGUAUUAAUUUUGCCCUCCUCUGACACUUAGACCACGCCGUCUUUUAGCCCAGAUUAAUUUGUUUCAUCCCAAAAUUAGCAACGGAGUGGAAACAUCUUCUGACGUAUGAUGGCAGUGAAGAAUGAGAGUCCGUCUGUUUUCUCUGCUGGUGCUUUUGACUUGGAAUUCGGAGAACAGUGGCAGGAGCUGGAGCCAGGAACCAGCCCACUCCUCCUGAAGGCAGUCAUGCCUGCAUUUGUGCUGCCUGAGUCCAAAGGAGCAUUUGGUUCAUUCCGUGUAUUAGGAGGUGAACCCUGAUAUACCUCAGCUCCAUAGUGUGAAAAUUCUCAAAUUUUCAGUCUGAAACACCUAACAGCCACUUCUGUGAAGCCUUUGGGUGUCAGAGUUUUGCUACCAAUCCCGCAAUUUGAGAUCCACCUCUGCUGAUCUGCAGGAGGGAGGAGACAGGAGGGUUUGGCUUCAGGCUCAGCAAGCCUCCAGCUCCCCUCUGCUGUGGGAAACCCUCGGAGGAAACCCAGCCAUGGCCAUGAGUCAAGAGUCUUGCACUGGUUCAUCGCUUUCAGUCCGGCAGCAUAGAUGAGGUUAAAAUAAUCCCUGUUCUAACAGUUCACCCAUCUCAUUUUUCACCACUCUGUCCUUUGGGAAGUGUAACGAGCUGAAGGAGCCGUAUUUUGAGGUUUAAUGUUGUGACAGACAAGAAACUGGUUGAGAAAGGAAAGGAUGAACAAAACGUUUAGAUGGUAGGAACGUGGGAUUUGACAACAGCAUACAGUAAAAAACAACUAUUUCCAAAGUCUAAAUGCUGAUCUUAUAUAUUUGAGGUAAACUGAGAAGGUUUCCAUGCUUCCUAGGUUUUUUCUGACACUGAAAGUGGACCAGCUGGUAAUUCAGUGGGAACUGGCUUAGUGCCGUGAAAGUUGCUGGUCUACAUCAACUGCUACGUACCCCCAUAUGAGGAUAAAGCAGAGCAUAUGUAUUUUCCUGUUCUAUAUUGAAUUAGGAUUUCUAAAUCACAUUUCUCUAGAUCGCUUUUCUUUUUUGAAAACUGAAAGAAGUUCAGCAGUUCUCUCACUUCGUUGUAUUAGGCCUUACUUGGUUUAAGGCAAAGACAAUUUUUUUUUCUGUCUGUGUGAGUCCCUUCUGACACUGAGAACAUUGCACUGUCUCCACAAAGAAUUGAUGCUCUUUAUUGGAUGUAAAACUAAAGGGUGCACUAAAACCAAUGAUAAUAAUAUAGUAUCUGCAGACAAACAGGUUUUCUGACACAAAACAACAAAAUGAGCUAUUGCCAUAAGUAUCAAUUAAUGCUUUAAAAUGCUUUAAUUGCACAGUAUCUAUUUCAGAAUAUUGAAAUGCAGAGUUAAUUUGAGCUAAAAGAAGAUAUGAUUCACAGUCAAGAUGUAAGCUGUGACUUGACAAGGGGUUUAAUAGCUGCCUCAGGCAGAUCAGAAAGUGUGAUAAUGAGAAUCCAGCAGAAAAACAUCACGGAGCAGAGCUGCAGAGUUUGCCAGGGUAAGCGGUGUCAGUGGCUGGAUAGUAAUGCUCCUUCUACGAGGUAAAGAGACAGAAGUGGUCACUCUGGGUAACAGUGACUGCUCUAAGCUUUCAAUCUAGUUACAGAAUACUCCUUUCUGGAAGGAAAUACAUCCUUUCAUGUGUAGCCAUAUUCAUAUAUGCAGGCAUACUCACACAUAUAUAAAUAUAGAAUCUAUUUUUUCAGAGUACAGUUUAGUGAAACGCAUUUCAGUGUGGCAUGGAAGUAGGUUGAUUGCCUUCACCAAUAGAUUGUGCUUCGUUGUCCCCUGCCAAGUCCUUUCUGGGAAGCUGUAAAAAGAAAAUUAUUUGCUGGCUUAGGGUUGGACUUGUCUCUAUACCCUUCAUUGCUACUGUACUCUUCUCUGCGGGGGAUCAUUUUACAUUUUCUUAAUUGCAGAGACAGCUCGUGGUGUUGGCAGUGGUUGUACCAAGAAGUGGAUUUUAAUGAAGUGCAGUUCUCUUAGUCCACUGGAGCUUCAGCAAUCGCAAGCUGAAUGAUAGCAUCCUGUCAGGCUAAUGCAGACAACAUUGUCACCACGAGGAAAGAUUUACUCAAGACCCAUGCAUUUUAUAGCAAGAUUAUCCUGUAAAAAUGACACGUCAUGUUGCUUUAUGUGUACUUGCAUUUUUCAGUCUGAGAAGCUUUUUACGUGGAAGUACAAUGAAAGGGAAGUUACUGCCUGGACUCCUAGGUGAGAUUCCUUCCACGUAGCUGGGUGUCCAUGGUGCAGAUGUUUGCAGCUGCGGUGGACACCAAGGCUCAUUUCGAAUCAGGAGAGAGAAGCGGGCGCACAGAGGGCUCAUUCAUUUAACCUAUGGCAGACAUCGGGUUAAACGUUGAGGUGAAUCACACUCCAGCCACUGUGCUGUAGCUGCUCUGCAAACAGCGUUGCCACAUGUACACUGGCAGAGGCCUCCUGCACCACACGGCCCAUAGGCUGCCCCACCAGGAGCAGGCAGGUCAUAUCUCUGCUGCCUAACUCCUUUACCUUGAGAAACUCUCCAAAACAGGUCACUCUCCACCACUUCUGAACCCCGUGUGGAACCAAUGGAGGAAAGCAUUGUAGACGAUCUCUCAAAGUCGGAAAUCGAUCUCAUAUUUUUGAAGUUUUUGCCUACCAGAAGGUUCAAAGUGCUGCGUCUCUUAGCAGCUCCCUGAGGGAUGAUGCAUAUGGGACUAAUUUCUGUUUGUGCCUGAUCCCGCACCCUCUCCAAUGGCUUUUCAACCCAGUUGCGAAUUUCAGCCACAUUAAAAAGAGGCAGGUAACAUCUAAAAGACAUAUAUAUGAAUAUAUUUAAAUUGGUUUUUGGAUAGAAAAGAAAGUAGCAACUGAGUUUUAGCAUAAAAGAAAGGUGGCAGCAGCAGCCGAGCAGUUACCUGCUGUGUUUGACUCGCCUGGGGUGCACCCAUGGCUGCCCUGCCAGCACCAACAGGCUCUGAACCAGCCACUGCCCCACCGGCCUCUCUGGCUGGUACUUAGGGGAUGUUAAAGAAAGCCAGGAUUUCAGGGACGUGAGAGCAGGAACUGGGGCCGCUGAGGCAGGAUCUGUAGGGAAUACCUGGGGCUGUGGUGAAACGGGUGGGUUACAAUCCGUAGGAGUCCAGGCUAAGAGUGACUGGUAAUCAUAAUGUAAAUGCUGUGAACUUCUAAAAGUCAAAGGAGGACCAGGAGGAUUUGAGAGGGUAAGAAGGGUGCCGUGUUCCCAAACUGGAGCAAACAAUUGUCUUGCCUUCACCUGCAGCAUCCUUUUCUGCAGUCCCCAGUCUCCUGCUGUGAAAUCCUCUUAGCAUCCCCCCGAAACACUUACAAGUCUAAAGAAAACUGCACUCUGUCUCUGGCUCUGUUUAGGUAGCAGGAAAGAGGUCACCUCUGCUGCCUGCUAUUGUCCAAAUGCUAUACUUCCUUAGUCUGCUUAAACAACUUAAUGAGAGAAAAAGGUGUAGCGAGGCUAUUCCUCCAAGCAGUUUAUCACAGGAGCUCUUAAAAGGUCAGCAGUGGAAAGGCUGUGAAAUGUGCAAUGCCUGUAGGAAAUGGAAAAGCCUUUUCUGUUGAGGAAACAGUUUUCUGCCCUAAGCACAAUUCGUAGCCUGUACAAGGCUUGCUGCUCAAGGCCUGGAGCACCCAACAGCAGUCAUCAAGUGGUGUUUGGAACAGGGAGAUUCAUUCUGGAAAGCAGCCCCUCGUGUUGCUUUUCAGUUUGUGUCUUAAAUUGAAGAAAAUCUAAAUUUUAAUUGUAUGUGCUGCAGUGUUGUGGGGAUUGAUCAAGGAGAACUCGGGGCUGGAGCACAUACCUGAGCCACAUCUCUGUUUUACCUGUAUUAAUCUUCCCUUCACCACAAGGGCUUCGGGUCAUAUGAGCUUUUUGAUUAUACAUUUUCUUUUUGAUCUGUUUCAUUAUUUUUUUAUUGUGUUUUAAAGAAAUUUUAAUGCUUUUAACUGCUUUUAACAGCAGUUGUUCCAUGCUGAGGUGGUGUCUGUGUCAAACAGCAGACGGCAGUCCCAGUGCCCCUGGCAGUGCUGGUCUUACUCCUCUCCCCAAGCCUCCUGGCAGUUUCAACACUGCUUUCCAGCAAGGCCUUGGACUGUGCCUUACACGCUUCUUAAAAGCACCUGAAAUUAUCAAAAUCACGUGUGAGCGUAGUACUUACCAUCACCAUAUGUGGAGGCCAGUAGAUAAGAUGCAAUUUGGUGUCUUGCAUUGUCACAGUGCUACUUCUAAGCAGUGCGAAUAAUAAUCCAGAUGCAGUAUGUAUUUAUUUAGCACAAAUAAGUUCAUUUCACGUUAUAGUGACUGCUGUGAAUAAAACACGAGACUCUUCUUUAUGUUGUUGAUGGUAACAGUACCUUUUGUUAUCUUAUUUCUGCCCUUUUGUCUGCUUGCUCUGGAUUAUACUUCGUUUGCCAUUUCUAGACUUCUGUUUUGUCCAUUGUUCUUUUUAUCUGUGUGUUUGCUUUCUGUCUUAUCGGACUCUUUUACUUUUUAAUGAGAAUGGGUAUUUGACCUUUUUUCCCCUUUACAACAGACGCAGUAGUCCAUUGCGUAGAAAGGAGGUUUUGAGACAUUAUUGCCCUUGUGCAUGAAGCCUUUGAAUGCCCACCACAGCAGCCCACAGAGCAACCAGCAGUACCAGGUUUUCUCUUUGAGAUCCCAGGUUAGCUCAAAAGGCAACGUCAAGUUGAUACAAACCUCUACUUAAUAGGGGCCCCAGUACUCUGGAUAAUAUUCUGAUGGAAUGAUUCCCUUUCAAAACACUCUUUUUCACUAUGUAGACUGAAUGAUUCACUGUUUCUUUACAGGUUGUUAUAGGUAGCUGAUCUAAAAGCUCUUACAAAAUGUAUUUCCCUACAGAUGUAACUAUUCUUCUCAACGUUUGGAUGCUGGCCUGCAAAAAUCCUAAAAUUCCUUAUUUUUUCCUUGUCUCUCAGUGACUUUGGGUUUAUCCCUCCAUGCUGUAAUACCAUCUGCUCUUCCUUCUAACUCUUGCAAUUAGAUCUGGAUCUGUUUUGCUAACGCUGAAUAAUCCCAGCUUUUUCUCAAGUUACAUCAGGACUGUUGAUUAUUUUUCCCCCCGAUAUUGAUAUCUGAGCCCCUUUUACAAUUUGUUCUGACCCAGUGAUUAUAACAGUAUAAAAUGUAUUUUGAGUGAAGACAAGUUCCAGAUCUGCCAUACUUGGCCCAGAAGUUUUUUUUUUUCCCUCAGUUUGGUUCCUGUUGGAGCUGAUAUCUUUGAUAAGAACUCUUUUUUUCUCCUAGAUGUGUUGUACCCCUUCAGUAUCUUACUGCUGACUGAUCGUUGGCUCAGACGUCAACACUUGAACACUUACCUGGGUAAACCUGAACAGAUGAAAACCUAGUGCCUCUCCCCUGACAAUAUUUUUUAAAAUACCUACCCCUAGGGGCCAUCUUUCAAGGGACUGUAAUGGUCCCUUGAGUUUGUUCCACUUGUUUGAAACAUUCCUGGAAAAUUUCACCUUUCUUGCAGUUUUUAACCGUCUUCAUGAAACAUUUUAUUCGCUACUCCUUUCUUUUCCUAAAACAUCCUAAUUUUGAAUCAAAUUUUGUUUAUGCUCCCACUCCUUGCAUCAAGGAGUAUUCCUUGGUCUGGGAGCUUUUGGAGAAUUCUGAGUUACAGCUUCUGAGUGCAGUGAGUCAUUAUUACAACAAAAUGUAAAAAUUAAGACACCGUGAAGAAAUAGCACAUGAGGGAGGGAAAAGAAUCCAAGCAGCCCCCUCUCAGCCUGCCUGCACAUCACCUAACUAACAAUAUGGCUCCAAGUUGGCACGUUUUAGUCUCUUUCAUGGCCCAUUGUCCUAAUUUGUGUGACACCAAUCUAUAAUCAAGUGAACUCUAGGACAAAUGUUUCCCUUGAUCUAGUAAGUCAGAAAUGUAGUUAAGAAAUAUUCUGGACACUGAAGAAUCAUAAUACAGCUCUCCAUACAAGAAAAAGUGUUGGUCAUUAUUUCAGCUGUUGACAUAAGUAAUACAAUAAUUAUAAAGUAUAAAGCCUUUCUCAGAAGGUGAUAUUCAGCUGUUUGUAAAGAUGUUAGUUGGAAGCAGGAAAAAAAAGCAGUAAGGUUGAGUUAUAAGCUGAUUGUGAAGAGGAUCUGUGCUUCUGGCAAUUGAUGCUUCCUAAUUCCAGUGGGGGAAUAGAUACGUGCAUGCAAGAGCCCCAGGGCUCCCAUCAGCUCAAGAAACAUUGCACUGCUCCCCUAGUAGCCGCUCCCCAAAUGUGCUCUUCUACCUUUGCAGAAUGAACCUGAUGAGUGACUGGUGUGUUGUUGGCAGCAAUAAAUAACUACCGGGAAGGUGCUUAUUGAAAGCCCUGAGACAACAGAGAUGAAAGAGACGAACGAUUAUUUUCCUAGUUAAGAAUCACAGCUAUAUGGAAAGGUGCGUCGUGAUGAGCAGGAGGGAAGGGGACCUACCAGAAGCUCUGUAGGCAUAACUGACAGCAAGAGACAAAGCAAUUUAAUGAUGUGAGUACCAGCCUCUGGAGUGAAAUAAUAUGGAGGACAACAUGGCUAGGAGGGGUGGUUUGCUUUUUUCUUUUUUUCUUUUUUUUUCUUUUCCCAGUAGCUGACAAUAGCAUCAGGAGGAGGUACCAGAGGGUGAAUAGACUGGGGGAGCUGGGAUUAUCAGCAAAUGACAGUAGAUAAGUGACUUGAAAAGGCUCUGGGUCCUGGGUGGCUCUUAGAAUAGUGAAUUAGGACAACAAAAGCAAGAGUGUACUUUGAAAGAAAAUAUAAAUGUACUCUUCCACCUGGCCGCGUCUGAACCCUUUCUCAUCUGAUAGAUCAAUGCACAAAGCAAAGAUCUGUUGCAUCUUUCAUGUGGCUAUGCUGUUCUAUAAUAAAACUUGAACAAACAGUGUCUGUUUACCAGCCUUCCAGAGAAGUCACAUCUUUCAAAUGUGUCCCUUCUCGUGUCCCUAUCUCCACCCUACAGCAGCAGAGGGCUAGAUCUUCCCUUGGCAUUGGUGAAGCUGCACCAGCAUGCAGUGGUGAGUCUCUAGCUUCUCACUUUGGAAGCAAAUUUUGUCAUGGAGAAAAAAAAUAAAAUCUUUAGGUUUUGUGUAUGGGGAACAAAAUUUGGUUUCGUCACGUCAAGAGUUCAGUGAAAGGCAGGCACCAACAACUUUUGGUGGUCUGAAUUUAUGGGGUUUGCCAACAGACCUGAAUUUUGAUCAUCACACUCGAGUAAAUAGCCCACUCUUCCCUUGGAUAAACAGCUUCAUACAAUUGCGUUUUCCUACUUGGUUGGCUGGUUUUUAGAAGUGGAGUUUGUCAAGAGAAAGAAGAAUUUGGUAGGUGCCCUGUAGAGUGCCUAACAAAUAGCUCCCUGAAUCAAGGAUGGCUUCUUGCCUUGUUUUCUGCCACUGGCAAUCUCGGAAGGAGCUUGGGUCAAAGUACUCACUGUCAAAGACUGUGAAUCAAGGAUUUGUGUUCAGACUCCAUCAACAUAUGUUUAAAAACAUUUCCUGUUUAGUCAAGUACUUAUCUUUGUCUUCAUACUGUGUUUUUAGCAUCUCUUUUACUAUAUAUUAUUUUGGGGAGGCAACAGCAGCAGCAAAGACAUAGGCAGUAGUGUGGAGCUCUGACAUCUGACAACAAAACUCCCUUCUCAAAAUCUUGUCCUCGCUCAUGAAAAACAUAAAAACCCUUAACUAAGCUGCCCUAUCACGGGCAGCCCAGCUCUGUGCAGCCCCAGGUUAGAUACGAAAACCCUUUCGGAUAUAUCCCUCUCGUCUGAACAUAAUGUCAUGGAAAAUAAAGUAUGACAGUCAAAUCUGUCGGUAACCACGAGGAGAAUAGUAAGUCUUCCCCCAGCUCCCGACACGUCUGAUGUUCACAGCGGUGGCUGGCAGAGCUGCUUCAUUUGCUCGUUUCCUUUGCUGUGAGCCAACAUUCCCAGUAGCGUCAGGACAAUUUUAGAAGCAAAAUGCACUCAACUGAACUUCGUCUAUGAAGAGAUGAACAGGUGCUUAUAGCUGAGUUUUCAAGUCCAUAUAUUACCUUGAUGGCUUUUUUUUUUUCUGUCUGAAAUGGAGCAAUUUUUGAAUACAGGCAUUUAGCCAAGCCCCGAAUCUCAGGAAGCAGUCUCUCCAGAAUUUGUUCAUUCUGGGAAGAAAUGGAAAAGCAGAGAAGAAGAAGAUACGAGCACGUCUGCAGCACACGGGUAACUGAAAUAGGUGAAAUAAUUGUUUGGCAAUAUCCCGAAUGCCUUCUGGUGCAAUAACGCUCUCCCUCAAGCCUGCUUACUAAAUAGAUUUUAACUUAUCUUUGCUUUACUACACUGAAUGAUUUCAGAUUAUAUCUCAGGAAGAAAUAGGGCUGAGGACAUCCACAGGUGUAAACAAGUGAUAAGAAAAUGUUGUGGGGAAUCAAGAAGAAAGGAGCUGGAUGUUGUGUGGGUCUGUAUGAGGAGGAAUGCGUGGACAGCCUGACAUAUAGUCUGGGGGUUCAGAUUUGGAAGCGUACAGCCCGCAGGCCUGGAGAUGUGUCAGCUGACGUGCUCCAACAGAAUCGGAAGCAGCAGAGAGCCCAUACUGCUGAGCAGAUCAUCAGACGCAUAAAUCAGCGUGAGUCUGGCUGGCGGGUCUGAAUGGACACCCACACUGGCAAGUAGUGCCAGGCAACAGGAGUAGGUCCGUAGAGUGAAACAGUUGGCACUGGGGAUCCAAUGUCCACGCUAUUCAGGGUGGGGAGGGGAGGAGGAGGAGGUUCAGAUUAAAUUAAACACGAGGACAUGCUCCUGGACUGUACCUAAUGUGCUGGACUGUACCGAAUGGAGCACAUUAGGUACAGUCUUGAAGCAUGUCUUCAUGUUUAAUUUAAUCCGAAAGUAAUCCAGCUUGAGCACCCUGAGACCGUACCACAAAGCAAACAAAAACAGGGUUGAUAGGGUGACUUGCUUCAAAAACAUAUGCUCUGAUGUCCUGCUUUCUGCUGGAACAGAGUUAGUUUUCUUCCUAGCAGCUGUAUAAAUCACUGGUAUAUGUGCAGCCUUUUUCAACUUCUCUAAUGAUAUAAAGGGAUACAUGCCAUCUGCGUGCAAAUCUUCCCUGCAGGAAAGUUUGGUAAUAGGUAAAUGAAAAUGAGUACACAUGGAAAAAAAAAAAAAAAAAAAAAAAAAAGCCGUGUUUGUUCUAGAGUUAUCUAUUUAGGAUGCCCAAGAUUUUCUCAUGCAGCUCAACAAUUUGUAAAAUACUGCAGACCCACAGUUCUGUCUGGAAAACUUCCUUUGAUUGCCUGCACACGCAUCUGUGGGCUCUUGCACAGCAGAUCUUUGAUCCCCCUGCUGGGUCCUUGGGUGAUACUGCACAACGAGUAACAUAAACCAGUUGCUAUUUCCUCUGAUCAUUAAUCACUCAGGAUUUCAUCAGUACUUAAUUGAGAUACCUAAGACACCCUUAUAAAGACUAUAAGAUUUCUUGUGCUUGGAGCCCUUCUCCCUUUCUAAGGCACUUACAUUUUCUUUUUCUAGGAAUAGCCUCGGUGAUAAAAUGAGUCACCUAACUCUUUGCCAACAGGCAACACGAUGACUGACAUUUAUACGGCACCUUUCAUCCCAGGAAUGUUUAAACCUAUGCCUGGAAUCCUGCCCUGGCUGCUGGCAGGGCUGUCGGAGUGAUGCAAGGGCCUUCCCACCAGCACCGAGCGGGGGGAGCAGUGUGAGGGUUCAAUGCCCUUUGUUGCUGCUCUGAAAAGUGUCCAUGCCCUUGGCUACCUGAUCUGCCUGACUCACGUAUGCAUUAGAGAGAGGGUUUGUGGGCUCAUAAAGAGGCUAACCAUGCCCUGGGAAGCAGCAAUGGAAGGGACCUUGCGUGUUGUUGGGUCAGGCUCCAACACGGCUGUGUGCCAACAGCUCCAUCCUGUAGUGCCCCAGCUCUCAGGGGUGUUGCAGAGAUCCAGGCAGCUGAGUAAGGAAAGAGCUCAUCUUUCUUUGGAUCCUGACAUGCAUCACGGGCAGACACGCAACGAGCCCCAUGAUGACCACCGGCUCCUGUCUUGCAGGGCUCGGUGCGCUACGUUCACAGCAGCUCUUUCGGGUACCUGCCACUACGUGUUAGUCAUCCUUCACUAGAAGCCAACGUGCCACGGAACUGAAAACUGUAAUUUAGUUCACCGAGUCUGAGAAAGGGACCUCGUUCCAGUUCCUCGUAUCUGGACUCAAUCUGUGGUCUCAAUGGUGUUCCUGGUGAAAAGAUCAAUUCUUCACAAGACUAUUGCACCGUGGGCAGCACUGAAGACUGGGCUGCAGAAGGAGGGAAGGAGUGGUGCAGGGGCUGAACCUGUUCCCGAGGAAAAUGCGGGUAGAGCGGUUUGGGGCAGUAUGGAGAAGGGCUGCUGUGCUGCUUUGCUGCUGCCCACCCUAGCCCUGUCAGCUGCCAGCAGCACUCGUCCAGGUUUUUGUGACCGCACCCAUGAGCUAUCAAUAAAAGCACAUAUUGCCUGCUUGUUAAAUUCCCAGUUUGCUCUUAGCCACAGCCACACUGAGCCUGAGCACAUCUGGGAAAGCCUGAAUAAAUUUUCUCCAGCUGUA